rnacentral:lncRNA from 1 species
UAGCUCAACAUUUUUCCAUCUCAACGGCGCUCUCUUUCUGUAUUAGUAAAAAAAUAAACUCAUGAAUUAAACAGAAUUCGAACCUAAGCAAAUUAGCACUGUAACCAUUAGUUCCAGAACUGCUCAUAAGAGAAUAGCGCGGGUCUGGUACAGAGUUAUGAAUGAAAAAAGUAUCAACUAAUCCCGGAUUACAGAACUCAAAUAUAUUAUUAAAUAUAUAUUUAUAUUAGUAUUUAAUAUUUAAUCAUGAUAUUGGAACACGUAUAACACACAUACAGUGAAACUAAUACUCAUUCAGAAGGAAAAGGUAGAACAAAUAUAAUAGAACAGUAAUACCUCUCAUAAACUCCUAAACCGAGAAGAAUACUAAAUGAGGAGUUUAAUGAUUAAAAAAAAAGUCGAAUAAUAAGGCAGUCCAUCUGAUGGUAGUAAUUAAAUCAUAUAAAUGAGGAGAAAAUCCCCUUAGCCUAAAAGCCUCCCUCCAAAUAUUAAUAGCAAUCCUCUUCCAACAAAAGGUACAGAAUGCGGUAACUUACCAGUCUGCUAAAGCCUUUUAGUUUGGCCCCAAAUUUUGAUCCCAAAACUUUUUAAUAAUAUAUUUUAUCAUUUUUGCGCUUAGAUAAUAAUGAAGUCCAUAGAUUAAAAAGAAAAAAAUGUGGAAUCAUUACCAAAAGAGAAACAUUGUCUUCUUUUUAAUAGUAGAAUAUUUUAAAGUUUUAAACUAAAUUAUUUAAAUCUCUAUAUUAGUAAAAGAAAAAAAUUUACAACGAUAUCCAAGGUAAUAUAUUGCAAUAUAUGGCUAAUUUCUAAUUAGAAUUAAUCUUUACAAUAACAACAACAACAACAACAACAAUAAUAAUAAUAAUAAUAAUAAUAAUAAUAAUAAUAGUAAUAAUUCAACUGUAAAAUUGGGGAACUCUGCAAAGCCUAACAAAUUAAAACAUUUAUAAGAUUUUGGAAGUUUAUAUAAUGCAUGUUGGCUCGUCCUAAUUUCAAACACUUACCACAUUCUCUAUUUUCUGAUCUACGAUAUUAGGUGAGAGACAUAGACAUGUCAAGCUUCGCACUCCGCAUCACUUGGCCAAAGACCAUGGAUGAACAAUCACUCCAAAAUACCAUCUUUGCAAGGAGUUUUCCGUGAUUGCAAUUGCAUGUCAUGGAAUGUUGGGGUCAACGCAGUACGUAUUCCAUAAAAUGGUAACUUGUUUGGCACCUAGUUCUUGGACUAUAUUCGUCAAAAUCAAUAUAAUUGGUAGCAAAUAUCUCCCUAUAAUAACUUAUAAGCAAUACUAUUAAUGUACUCAAAUUUUAAUAAUGCAAGUAUGGCAUUAUAUUUGAGCAUUUGCCUCUUCUUACCGAGGCCAGAACAUAGAAAAAACUAAUGUUUCAAUGCAUGGAAGGUUAAUUAGUUAAGUCAUGCAGAUUUGCAUUCUUCCACCUUGACAUUGAGGUAAUAUAAGAACUGAAAUGUCUUCCUGCGUGAAGUUAUUAUUGAUACAGAAGUUUUGAAUGAAUGAUAUCAGUUUCUCCUUAUAAUUUGUUUAUUAUCUAAUCACCAUUCAGAUUAAGUGUCGUAACCAAUCUAAAUCUGCAUACUUCGUGGUUUGAUUUGGCUAACCAUCAACCAUUUUAAAAUGCUACCCAUUAACCUCCAAGCGAAGACCAAAAAGACUAGAACAUUGGGUUUGCUCACGACAUUGACAAGUUAAGAUUACUUCUCAAGCAGUUGUAGGCCAAAGGUCGUGGAUGUAGGAUAGUUCCUGAGUACUGGUGUAGCAUGUAUUCAUGGUACAGAAGGUGGGAGGUCAUUGAAGUACAACUACUAUUGUUAUUGGUGGGUCGCAUAGUUUCAGUUGUAACUUUCAAUUACUAUUUUCUGCUAGUACACUUAGCUCAACAUUUUUCCAUCUCAACGGCUCUCUCUCUGUAUUAGUAAAAAAAUAAACUCAUGAAUUAAACAGAAUUCGAACCUAAGCAAAUUAACACUGUAACCAUUAGUUCCAGAACUGCUCAGAAGAGAAUAGCGCGGGUCUGGUACAGAGUUACGAAUGAAAAAAGUAUCAACUAAUCACGGAUUACAGAAUUCAAAUAUAUUAUUAAAUAUAUAUUUAUAUUAGUAUUUAAUAUUUAAUCAUGAUAUUGGAACACGUAUAACACACAUACAGUGAAACUAAUACUCAUUCAGAAGGAAAAGGUAGAACAAAUAUAAUAGAACAGUAAUACCUCUCAUAAACUCCUAAACCGAGAAGAAUACUAAAUGAGGAGUUUAAUGAUUAAAAAAAAAGUCGAAUAAUAAGGCAGAACCUCUCCUAAACUCCUAAACCGAAAAGAAUACUAAAUGAGGAGUUUAAUGAUUAAAAAAAAAAAGUCGAAUAAUAAGGCAGUCCAUCUGAUGGUAGUAAUUAAAUCAUAUAAAUGAGGAAUAUAGGUAACUCACUCGAUCCAAACCUCUGUCUUAUUAGCAACAACAACAACAACUACCCAGUAUAUUCCCACCAAGUGGGGUCUGGGGAGGGUAAUAUGUAGACGAGUCUUACCCCUACCCGAAGAAACCUCUGCCUUAUUAGCAGAAAACUAAAAAAAAAACAGAAAACAGAUCGAUCUGCCUCUCUCUCUUUGUCUGUCUCUCUCCGUACCCAAAGGCCGAAACUAUUAUGGCCACUAGCGGUAAUGGUGGUCGGCCUUUCCCUGAGGAUUUAGCGGUGAAUAUUCUACUCAGGUUGCCAGUGGAGUCCUUGUUGCGAUUCAAAUGCGUCUGCAAGAACUGGUACGAGAUAAUGAAGAGCCGUAGCUUCAUCAGAGAACACAUGCAUUAGAACAGCAAGAGCAAAUCCCCUCAAAUCUUGAUUUACGAUCAUAGUGCCCCACAUGAUU